rnacentral:lncRNA from 1 species
GCGUUUUCAUAGACAAAUUGCAUCAGAGACAGCACAACUUAGGAACUGCUCCAGGGGGAUGAAGUGUCUCUGGGUAGCUCUGAGCAGGAGAGCUGUGGGACCCCAGGAACAGGAGCUAAACAGGAGACCAACAGGGGUUAAAGGCCUGCAUAGAGAUGCAGCAGAGCCUCGGGGUCUGCUGCAGGAGUGUAGUGUGUCAGAGGGGCUGAGCCGCUCACAGAGCAGACUGAAACCUCAGCUGUACUAUCAUUCACUCUUCCUCCUCUCACAGUCAUGUGAACUUCCACCCCCAGUCUGAAUUGCAGAUACUUUUGAUUAUUCAGCUCAGGUGUCCUUGCAGAGUAAUGAGGUCUUUCUCCCCUGUGAUUUCCAGCUGCCAUCACUCUCGGCAACCCAAACAAACCCAACUGAUUGCACUUAUUUAUAGACCUGAAUGCUGAUGCUGGUCUCUCCUGGGACUAGCUCUCAUCUCUCAGGAUGGAGCAGAUUUCAGGUCAGCUCAUUUCUUAGCCUUCUUUCACUUCCUCUUGGCCCUGGUGCUGCUGCCAGCCCUUUUCCUACAGGAUGUUCCACUGCUUUUCCUGUCUCGGGACACUGGCAGUAUGGAAGUUGUUGCAGGGCUCAUCCUCGCUGGAAAGACUUGCAGAACUUGUGGGACUGUAACUGCUGGCUUCCUCUUGAAGGAGGAGCGGCCCCUUCAAAACUGAGCUGUGUUCCCUGAGCUGUGCCCUGCUGCCAAGCCAGCCCCACACUGCUGCCUCUGCCUGGUAGGUGCCAGAGGUCUGUUCUGCAGCUGAGGGGAGAGGGAGGAUCACUCUGUGGGUCACUGGGGUUGGGGUGCCAAAACGUGUGGGAUGACCUGGCCACAUGGAAAGGUGUAAUGGUUGCGCUGCCGACACUGCACCUCUGGCUUCUGGGGGAUGGGAGCUCAGGUCUGGUUACUCCUUCUGUGUCGAGAGCAUUUCUUGCAAAGCCAGGGAAGCUUUGUUGGUAUUCCCCUUUGGGGAGGAGCUGUGGUUGGGCAGUGUGUCUUCUGUGAGUGCAGAGCUGGAGGAUGCAGACACAGCCCAUCCUACCUGGAGAAUGCAGCCCUUGGGACAGCGAUUCAGUAACGAAGAUAAUUAGGAAUUAAUAAUACUAAGUGGUGUCCAUACCCUACUUAAUGCUGGGAUGCAUGUGUUUUCCCUGGCUCCUGCAGGCACAUGCAGGCAUGCUACAGAUGUUACUGGCUGUAGCAAGAUU